rnacentral:lncRNA from 1 species
UGCUAGACCAGGAGAAAAAAAAGGCACACUUGUCCUAUUUUCAUAGAAUACGCAUUCUAGUGGAGGAAGACAUACUAAAAACACAUUAAAAAAGGAGAAGAUGCCCAUGGUAAGUACCAUGUGGAGAGGUGAAAUAAGUUACUGUGAUUGAAUAUGACUGGGUGAAUUAUAUUAUUUUGGUGGUUAAGAAAGGCUUCUCUGAGGAGGUAACAUUUAAAUAAAGAAUGCACUUACGAGAAUAACUCAGCCGAGCACAAAUUACGUAGAAGAGCGUUUCAGGCAGAGAAAAGAUCCAGUGCAAAAUCCUUAACAAACUUUGGAGCUGGGAAUGAUAGAGAAGAGAAGAGAAGGUGCCCAGAGCUUGCAGAUAGUGGGUAGAUGGGAUGAGAUGAAAUUAGAAAGGGGGGCAGGGACCAGAUCUCACAGAGCUCAGGAAGACUGAGUAAGAUGGUCGACUUUCUCUUUUCUGUGGAUAACAAACGUUUUGGGCAGUUUUAAGUAGAAAAGGAAAGUAAUCUGAUUUACUUUGGGAGAUACAGGGAGAAUGAGUUCUUGGAAAGCAGGCAUAUAACCAAAAAGAACCCGUAGAAGUCUUACACAUUUACCUGUUACAGAGUGGAGCUCUUUGUAUAUUUUUAACAUAAAAAAUUUUAGGAAGAUUAUGCCGCUAAAGAAAAAAAAAAAGAGUUUGAAAAAUCACAGUUCUGGCCUAUAUCAACAUUAUAAAAAUUAUAAAAGCAUUGAUCAGCCCAUCCAACCAUGUUCUGCUAUGCAUUCCCAUAGGUGUCUAAGUUGUUCUCUGGAUUAGAUCUGGAAAUAUUUGCCAAGUUGGUCCACAACAUUCAUACUCAUCAUUUUUGCUCUGAAAGUCUCCAAUUCACUGUAUUCCUUAGAUGCAUUAUAAAUUUCCAUUUGUUCCCUUGCCUGAGGCAGUUAAUAUUUUAGUGACAUAAUUUUAAGAAUGUCAGUGUGCAGUACACACUGUAUAGCCUCAGGAAAUUGUGCCCAGCUGUAAAAAGGUGUAGGCUAUUACAUUUUUGUAAUUCUUAGUGAGAGCCUUCUAUUUUACAAGAAUGCCUACUGAGACAUGUCUUUGUUUAAGACACAUGGACACCUGGAGUCCGAAAAAAAAUAUAACAGAUCUGGCAACUAGAGCCAGAAAAAAUAUGUUUGGGAUAUUUUUAAAGUUAUGUAAUAAUUGUUAGAGAUGAAACAUAUUUUAAGUCUUUUCUUCUGUGUUUAUCCUUGACAAUCAGCAAACAUUUACUCAUUUACAACAGUAAUAAUAAGAGAACAUUUACUGAAUUGUUCACAGUGUACCAGGUGCUGGUCUUAUAAUCAUUAUCUUAUUUAAUAUUCCUAACUCUGUGCUUCUUUUUUUUUAAAAGUAUAGUUAUGUCAAUUUCUGCUGGACAGCAAAGUGACCCAGUCAUGCAUAUACACACAUUCUUUUUCUCAAAUUAUCUUCCAUCAUGUUCUAUCAUAAGAGAUUGGAUAUAGUUCCCUCUGCUAUAGAACAGGACCUCAUUGCUUAUCCAUUCUAAAUGGAAUAGUUUGCAUCUACUAACCACAAACUCCCAGUCCACGAAGAAAGGCAGUUUUAUUUUGUUUCAGCUGUAUUUGCUGAUCCUAUUAUUAUAAACUUACUCAAUUUAUCCACAUUGCUUUGCCCACUAUAUCUGGCCUUCCUCAAGGACAGUUUCUAUUGAUUAAUUUUUUUUUUCUGGUUCAUGUGCCAUGUUUUCUUAUUUCUUUGUAUGUCUCAUAAGUUUUUGUUGAAAACUGGACAUUUUGAUACUAAAUUUGGCAGCUCUGGAAAUCAGCUUUCUUCCUUCCUCUCUUCUUCUUCUUUCUUUUUUCUUUUAAUCUUUUUAGGGCCACGCUGCAGCAUAUGGAGUUUCCCAGGAUAGGGGUCGAAUUGGAGCUGUAACCGCUGGCUUAAGCCACAUCCACUGCAACGCCAGAGCUGGGCCACGUGUUUGACUGACAUCACACAGCAAUACCAGAUUGUUAACCCACUGAGCAAGGCCAGUGAUCAAACCUGCGUCCUCCUGGCUACUAGUCUUCUGCUGAGCCACAACGGGAGCUCCCUGGAGAUCGGAUUUCUAUUCUUUUCCCAGGUUUGUUGUUAUUGCUGUUCAUUGUUCAUUGUUGUGGUUAUUACUAUUACUCUUUUUACUGUUGUUUGUUUAGUGACUCUCCUGGAUUAAUUCUUUAAAGCUGAUUUUCUUUGUCAUUUUGUAGCCACUGAAAUCUCUGCUUCCUUAGGUUAUUGGUCAGCUAAUGAUUCGAUAGAGAUUUUCUUAAAUGGCUGUGACUGGAAGUCUCCUCACCUCUGCCGAGGGUCUUGUAUGUGUGUUUAAAAUCUGCCUUGUCUUUUAAUUUCUACUUGUGUGGAGACUUGAGGUCAGCCAGAAGCAAGACUUUAGGGAACUCUCAGGUCUUCCUUUGGCCUGCACAUGGCUGGGGAGUGCGCACACCCCUACAUGUGGGUGUGGCCGUCUGGAUUCCCAGGAAUAUGUCAGAGCUUUUCAAACCAUCCCAGGACAUCUCGCUCACCAGCUUUUCCGUCUAAGUGUGUUGGUCAGCUUGCGCUUUGCUCUGUUACUGCUGCCCCAGGCAGCUGCCAGGUUGAACAGCUGUCACUGAUGUCUUUGCAACAAAUUCACCAUUCAAGAGGCUCUACACACUGGGCGUGAACUCUGAAUCAGGUCAGAAAAGUCAAGCCUUGUGAGUGGGAUUUUCCGGGAAACUACCAGAUGGGUAAAAUAAUAACAAUUAUUUGGAAAGAGGGUUUUUUGUUUUUUUGUUUUUUGUCUUUUUGCUAUUUCUUGGGCCGCUCCUGCGGCCUAUGGAGAUUCCCAGGCUAGGGGUCCAAUCAGAGCUGUAGUCACCGGCCUACACCAGAGCCACAGCAACGCGGGAUCCGAGCCGCAUACACCACAGCUACUGAGCAAGGGCAGGGACCGAACCCGCAACCCUAUGGUUCCUAGUCGGAUUCGUUAACCACUGCGCCACGACGGGAACUCCGGAAAGAGGGUUUUGAAUGAAGUCCAACCCCAGCCAUCCUCUUCUGGCUUUUUGGCUACUAGUUCAAAUGUAAUUAAGAGGCUAUUGGCUUUCAAGGCUACAUGGAGCUGGCAAGAGUGUAGUGGCAACUGGGGAAAUUAAAUGCCAUUAAUACUCACUGUUUUUACCAAGAUUCUUUUUUGUUUGUUUGUUUUGUUUUGUUUGACAAUGCUCUCUGGAUUGUUCUACGUCAUUGGUUAAUUUCUAGAGUUCAGAAAAAAUUUAUUUUGACCAUUUUUAAUAGUGCUCUCAUUGAUUUUACGGAGAAGAGGAUAUUUUAUAUUCCUUGCUCUGCUAUUCUUGCUGAUGUCACGACUGAGAAUUAGAAUAUUUUACCAGGAUAUUAAUAAGUCCAGUUAAAGUUUGUUACCAUGGAAAAAGGAGAAAAAUGGCUAUUAGAGAGAAAAUAGCACUCUAUGCUAUAGUGACACUUGAAAAUGUCUGCCUAUUUUAUUCAAGUGAACAAAUAUUAAAGUAGGAGCAGCUCAAAUUGAGUUUACCAGCUGAGAUAAAACACAUUGUCUGUUCUAGGCAGAUUGUAGGUUUUGAGUCAAGAUGAGUUCCGAAUACAUUUUAACUUUCCAUGUGUAUAAUCUGUGACUAUGUAAGUAUAUUCGCAAUAGCUCUAUGAGUGCUUUUUUUUUUUUGGUCUUUUUAAGGCUGCACCCACGGCAUAUGGAAGUUCUCAGGCUAGGGGUUGAAUUGGAGCUGUAGAUGCUGGCCUGCAAUACAGCCACAGCAAUGCCAGAUCCAAACUGUGUCUGCAACCUACACCACAGCUCACAGCAAAAGCUGGAUCCUUAACCCACUGAGCAAAGUCGGGGGUCGAACCUGCAUCCUCAUGGAUACUAGUCGGGCUCCUUACUGCUGAGCCACGAUGGGAACUCCUAUGAAUGCUUUUUUUGAAUCCACAUAGAGAUAAAAUAUUUAAAAUAUAAGUUAUAUCUUAGUGCGGCCAACCAGGCUAUAAUUAGAGAAGACAGAGUUUUAAAUGACUGAGACUCUUAAAGGUAAGCCACGGGGUGUGAACAUUGAGUACAUCAAUUUUCUUCUUUUUUUUCUACUUUGUGGGAAAAAAACAAAAACAAAACAAAUAUUGAAAACUGAAACAGGAAACGACAACAGUGUGUGUUGCUCCUAUGGAGAUUUUUCUAGUGCUUCUUUUUUAUCUGAAACGAUAAAGACAGAAUUAAAAGGCUUUUCAGAGACCAGAGGAGUUAUUUGGUUCCAAAGGUGAAGGACUAUCAGAGGAAUCCUAGAGAUCAGAGAAUCAAAAGAACUGAAGAGGAAACAAUUAGGGACGGAGGGGACUGACCAGGAAAUCACACUUGUCAGCGAGUCAAGCUCAGUUAAUAGAGGGGACACACGAAUGCAAAUACCAGACCUAUGGCCAGAGGUCAGCUAUGAGUUUUCCAACACCUAUAACCUUCAAAUAUUCAUACACCCACCAAAAUAAUUUUGAUCAACUAUGUAGUCCCCACAGAUUUUCAAGUUAAUAUCAAAAAGUUUUUAAUUACAAUUUUAACAUUAAAUAGUCACAAAGAUGAUUUCUAUUAAAUCAGAAGUAUCAUUCUCUAAACGGUAAUUCUUUUAUGUAACUCAUUUCAAUGUAUGCAAUGAUAUCUAAAUACCAUGGUGAUUUGAAAUAAACCAUCAUCCAUUCU